rnacentral:rRNA from 1 species
UACAGAGGUCCCAAGCGUUGUUCGGAAUUACUGGGCGUAAAGGGCUCGUAGGUGGCCAACUAAGUCAGACGUGAAAUCCCUCGGCUUAACCGGGGAACUGCGUCUGAUACUGGAUGGCUUGAGGUUGGGAGAGGGAUGCGGAAUUCCUGGUGUAGCGGUGAAAUGCGCAGAUAUCAGGAGGAACACCGAUGGCGAAGGCAGGUCUCUGGGCUGAUACUGACGCUGAGGAGCGAAAGCGUGGGGAGCGAACAGG